rnacentral:rRNA from 1 species
CGGAUUCUGGCUCAGGAUGAACGCUAGCUACAGGCUUAACACAUGCAAGUCGAGGGGCAGCAUGGAGUUUGCUUGCAAACUCUGAUGGCGACCGGCGCACGGGUGAGUAACGCGUAUCCAACCUUCCCUAUAGUAGAGGAUAGCCCGGCGAAAGUCGGAUUAAUACUCUAUGUUUUCCGUUGCAGACAUCUAAGAUGGAACAAAGGCUUGCCGCUAUAGGAUGGGGAUGCGUCUGAUUAGGUAGUCGGCGGGGUAACGGCCCACCGAGCCAUCGAUCAGUAGGGGUUCUGAGAGGAAGGUCCCCCACAUUGGAACUGAGACACGGUCCAAACUCCUACGGGAGGCAGCAGUGAGGAAUAUUGGUCAAUGGGCGAGAGCCUGAAUCAGCCAAGUAGCGUGCAGGAUGACGGCCCUAUGGGUUGUAAACUGCUUUUAUGCGGGGAUAAAGUUCACUACGUGUAGUGUUUUGCAGGUACCGCAUGAAUAAGGACCGGCUAAUUCCGUGCCAGCCGCCGC